UACGUAGGGUGCGAGCGUUGUCCGGAAUUAUUGGGCGUAAAGAGCUUGUAGGCGGUUUGUCGCGUCUGCCGUGAAAAUCCGGGGCUCAACCCCGGACUUGCGGUGGGUACGGGCAGACUAGAGUGUGGUAGGGGAGACUGGAAUUCCUGGCGUAGCGGUGAAAUGCGCAGAUAUCAGGAGGAACACCGAUGGCGAAGGCAGGUCUCUGGGCAUUAACUGACGCUGAGGAGCGAAAGCAUGGGGAGCGAACAGG
rnacentral:rRNA from 1 species